GAUGAACGCUAGCGGCAGGCCUAACACAUGCAAGUCGAGGGGCAGCAUGGCGUAGCGAUACGCUGAUGGCGACCGGCGCACGGGUGCGUAACGCGUAUGCAACCUGUCCGGCGCAGGGGGGUAGCCCGUCGAAAGGCGGGGUAAUCCCGCAUGAACCGGUAUUCCCGCAUGGGGGUGCCGGCAAAGUGGAGACGCGGGGCCGGAGGGGCAUGCGUGCCAUUAGCUGGCUGGAGGGGUAACGGCCCACCAGGGCGAUGAUGGCUAGGGGGUCUGAGAGGAUGGUCCCCCACACUGGUACUGAGACACGGACCAGACUUCCUACGGGAGGCAGCAGUGAGGAAUAUUGGUCAAUGGGCGAGAGCCUGAACCAGCCAAGUAGCGUGAAGGAUGAAGGUCCUAUGGAUUGUAAACUUCUUUUAUAGUAGAAUAAAGUGAUCCACGUGUGGAUUUUUGUAUGUAUACUAUGAAUAAGGAUCGGCUAACUCCGUGCC
rnacentral:rRNA from 1 species